rnacentral:rRNA from 1 species
GUGAGGAAUAUUGCGCAAUGGAGGCAACUCUGACGCAGCCAUGCCGCGUGCAGGAAGAAGGCGCUACGCGUUGUAAACUGCUUUUAACCGGGAAGAAACCCCAGGACGUGUCCUGGGUUGACGGUACCGGAGGAUUAAGCACCGGCUAACUUCGUGCCAGCAGCUGCGGUAAUCCGAAGGGUGCAAGCGUUAUCCGGAUUCAUUGGGUUUAAAGGGUGCGUAGGCGGAGCGUUAAGUCAGUGGUGAAAUCCUGCAGCUUAACUGUAGACUUGCCAUUGAUACUGGCGCGCUUGAGUGCGCUUGAAGUGGGCGGAAUGUGCCGUGUAGCGGUGAAAUGCUUAGAUAUGGCACAGAACACCAAUUGCGAAGGCAGCUCACUAAGGCGAUACUGACGCUGAGGCACGAAAGCGUGGGGAUCGAACAGGAUUAGAAACCCUGGUAGUCC